AUUGAACGCUGGCGACAUGCCUUACACAUGCAAGUCGAACGGUAACAGGUCUUUCGGGAUGCUGACGAGUGGCGAACGGGUGAGUAAUACAUCGGAACGUGCCCAGUAAUGGGGGAUAGCUCGGCGAAAGCCGGAUUAAUACCGCAUACGCCCGGAGGGGGCAAGUGGGGGACCGCAAGGCCUCACGUUAUUGGAGCGGCCGAUGGCUGAUUAGCUAGUUGGUAGGGUAAAGGCCUACCAAGGCGACGAUCAGUAGCUGGUCUGAGAGGACGAUCAGCCACACUGGGACUGAGACACGGCCCAGACUCCUACGGGAGGCAGCAGUGGGGAAUUUUGGACAAUGGGGGAAACCCUGAUCCAGCAAUGCCGCGUGUGCGAAGAAGGCCUUCGGGUUGUAAAGCACUUUUGUCAGGGAAGAAAUCCUUUGGGCUAAUACCCUAGGGGGAUGACGGUACCUGAAGAAUAAGCACCGGCUAACUACGUGCCAGCCGCCGCGGUAAAAC
rnacentral:rRNA from 1 species